rnacentral:rRNA from 1 species
CCUACGGGAGGCAGCAGUGAGGAAUAUUGGUCAAUGGACGAGAGUCUGAACCAGCCAAGUAGCGUGAAGGAUGACUGCCCUAUGGGUUGUAAACUUCUUUUAUAUGGGAAUAAAACGUUCCACGUGUGGGAUUUUGUAUGUACCAUAUGAAUAAGGAUCGGCUAACUCCGUGCCAGCAGCCGCGGUAAUACGGAGGAUCCGAGCGUUAUCCGGAUUUAUUGGGUUUAAAGGGAGCGUAGGUGGAUUGUUAAGUCAGUUGUGAAAGUUUGCGGCUCAACCGUAAAAUUGCAGUUGAUACUGGCAGUCUUGAGUACAGUAGAGGUGGGCGGAAUUCGUGGUGUAGCGGUGAAAUGCUUAGAUAUCACGAAGAACUCCGAUUGCGAAGGCAGUUCACUGGACUGCAACUGACACUGAGGCUCGAAAGUGUGGGUAUCAAACAGGAUUAGAUACCCCGGUAGUC